rnacentral:rRNA from 1 species
UUCAACGGCCGCGGUAUCCUAACCGUGCAAAGGUAGCGUAAUCACUUGUCCCUUAAAUAGGGACCAGUAUGAACGGCUAUAUGAGGAUAAAUCUGUCUCCUUUAACAAAUCAGUGAAACUGAUCCACCAGUACAAAAGCUGGUAUAAACCCAUAAGACGAGAAGACCCUGUGGAGCUUUAAAUUCAAACCAAGCAGCCAAAACACUACUAGCCAAUGGUUAAAAUUUUAAGUUGGGGCGACUUCGGAAAAAAACUAAACUUCCGAGCAUAANNCUACGUCUUACCAAGACCUACAAGUCAAAGCCAAAAUUGACCCAGUACCACUGACAACCGAACCAAGUUACCCCAGGGAUAACAGCGCAAUCUUCUUCAAGAGUCCCUAUCGACAAGAAGGUUUACGACCUCGAUGUUGGAUCAGGACACCCAAAUGGUGCA